rnacentral:rRNA from 1 species
GACGAACGCUGGCGGCGUGCCUAAUACAUGCAAGUCGAACGCAGUGGGGACGGGUGAGUAACAAGUGGGUAACCUCCCAUCAGAGGGGAUAAAACGUGGAAACAGGUGCUAAACCGAUACUGAUGGAUGGAACCGGGGUGCAGUAGGUAGUUGGUGGGGUAACGGCUCACCAAGGCCACGAUGCAUAGCCGUCCGGGGAGGGUGAUCGCCCACCCUGGAACUGAGACACGGCCCAGACUCCUACGGGAGGCAGCAGUGGGGAAUCUUCGGAAAUGGGCGAAAGUCUGACCGAGCAACGCCGCGUGAGUGAAGAAGGUUUUCGGAUCGUAAAGCUCUUUUGUUGGAGAAGCGGUAUCUAACCAGAAAGCCACGGCUAACUACGUGCCAGCAGCCGCGGUAAUUC